AUAAUGAAGCAUGUAAUAUUGUUUUCAAUCCUGCUGCUUUUGGUUGUUACAGAACUAGAAGGCUGUAGGAGAUGUUAUAAAGGAAUCAAGAACUCUAAGUGCUUGGUAAACCCAUGCCGAGGACGGAAGUGCAAGGGUGCUAAAUGCAGGCCAAAUUACUGCGGCGGUUGUAAUAGACUAUGGUACAAUGAAGGUGGUAGUGAUGUGACCAAGAAAUGUGAGAGUAAGGAUAACGUAUUGGAUAAGACACAAAACUUCCAAUGUCCACCUAGCAAUUUAUGUUCAGGAGGACUUCAUACGCCAUGUUUCGUAAAUCCAUGUGAUGGGGCAACCUGUAGUAACCAUCCCAAUGCUCA